UUGGUUAAGUUAGAAAGGGCGCACGGUGGAUGCCUUGGCACUAGGAGCCGAAGAAGGACGGGACUAACACCGAUAUGCUUUGGGGAGCUGUACGUAAGCGUUGAUCCAGAGAUUUCCGAAUGGGGGAACCCACUAUCUUUAGUCGGAUAGUAUCCUUACGUGAAUACAUAGCGUGAGGAAGGCAGACCCAGGGAACUGAAACAUCUAAGUACCUGGAGGAAGAGAAAGAAAAAUCGAUUUCCUGAGUAGCGGCGAGCGAAACGGAAAGAGCCCAAACCAAGAAGCUUGCUUCUUGGGGUUGUAGGACACUCUAUACGGAGUUACAAAAGAAAGUUAUAAAUGAAGCGGUCUGGAAAGGCCCGCCAAAGACGGUAACAGCCCGGUAGUUGAAAUGGCUUUCCCUCCAGAGUGGAUCCUGAGUACGGCGGAACACGUGAAAUUCCGUCGGAAUCCGGGAGGACCAUCUCCCAAGGCUAAAUACUCCCUAGUGACCGAUAGUGAACCAGUACCGUGAGGGAAAGGUGAAAAGCACCCCGGAAGGGGAGUGAAACAGUUCCUGAAACCGUGUGCCUACAAGUAGUUAGAGCCCGUUAAUGGGUGAUAGCGUGCCUUUUGUAGAAUGAACCGGCGAGUUACGAUUUGUUGCAAGGUUAAGCGGAAAAAGCGGAGCCGUAGCGAAAGCGAGUCUGAAUAGGGCGCAUAAGUAACAGGUCGUAGACCCGAAACCAGGUGAUCUACCCAUGUCCAGGAUGAAGGUAAGGUAAUACUUACUGGAGGUCCGAACCCACGCACGUUGAAAAGUGCGGGGAUGAGGUGUGGGUAGCGGAGAAAUUCCAAUCGAACUUGGAGAUAGCUGGUUCUCUCCGAAAUAGCUUUAGGGCUAGCCUCGAGGUAAAGAGUCAUGGAGGUAGAGCACUGUUUGGACUAGGGGCCCUUCUCGGGUUACCGAAUUCAGAUAAACUCCGAAUGCCAUGUACUUAUACUCGGGAGUCAGACUGCGAGUGAUAAGAUCCGUAGUCGAAAGGGAAACAGCCCAGACCACCAGUUAAGGUCCCCAAAUAUAUGUUAAGUGGAAAAGGAUGUGGGGUUGCUUAGACAACCAGGAUGUUGGCUUAGAAGCAGCCACCAUUGAAAGAGUGCGUAAUAGCUCACUGGUCGAGUGACCCCGCGCCGAAAAUGUACCGGGGCUAAACAUAUUACCGAAACUGUGGAUGAACCUCUUUAGAGGUUCGUGGUAGGAGAGCGUUCUAAGGGCGGUGAAGUCAGACCGGAAGGACUGGUGGAGCGCUUAGAAGUGAGAAUGCCGGUAUGAGUAGCGAAAGAAGGGUGAGAAUCCCUUCCACCGAAUAUCUAAGGUUUCCUGAGGAAGGCUCGUCCGCUCAGGGUUAGUCGGGACCUAAGCCGAGGCCGAUAGGCGUAGGCGAUGGACAACAGGUAGAGAUUCCUGUACCAGUGCUAAUUGUUUAACCGAUGGGGUGACACAGAAGGAUAGGGAAUCGCACGAAUGGAAAUGUGCGUCCAAGCAGUG
rnacentral:rRNA from 1 species